CCUACGGGUGGCAGCAGUGAGGAAUCUUGGUCAAUGGACGAGAGUCUGAACCAGCCAAGUCGCGUGAAGGAUGAAGGAUCUAUGGUUUGUAAACUUCGUUUAUAUAGGAAUAAAGUGAGGAUAGUGUUCCUUUUUGUAUGUACCGUAUGAAUAAACAUCGGCUAACUCCGUGCCAGCAGCCGCGGUAAGACGGAGGAUGCGAGCGUUACCCGGAUUUAUUGGGUUUAAAGGGUGCGUAGGUGGUUAAUUAAGUCAGAGGUGAAAGUUUGUGGCUCAACCAUAAAAUUGCCGUUGAAACUGGUUGACUUGAGUACAUUUGAGGAAGGCGGAAUGCGAGGUGUAGCGGUGAAAUGCAUAGAUAUAACGCAGAACUCCGAUGGCGAAGGCAGCUUACUAAACUAUAACUGACACUGAAGCACGAAAGCGUGGGGAUCAAACAGGAUUAGAUACCCUAGUAGUC
rnacentral:rRNA from 1 species